CUCUUCAUUCAAAUACAUUUGAUAAAAUUGGAGCAGAGAGAAGUUAACAUGGCACUUGCACAAGGAUGACUCACAAAUUGACAAAUAUUGAAUGGAUUUUA
rnacentral:snRNA from 1 species